GACGAACGCUGGCGGCGUGCUUAACACAUGCAAGUCGAACGGAAAGGCCCUGCUUUUGUGGGGUGCUCGAGUGGCGAACGGGUGAGUAACACGUGAGUAACCUGCCCUUGACUUUGGGAUAACUUCAGGAAACUGGGGCUAAUACCGGAUAGGAGCUCCCGCUGCAUGGUGGGGGUUGGAAAGUUUCGGCGGUCGGGGAUGGACUCGCGGCUUAUCAGCUUGUUGGUGGGGUAGUGGCUUACCAAGGCUUUGACGGGUAGCCGGCCUGAGAGGGUGACCGGCCACAAUGGGACUGAGAUAGGGCCCAGACUCCUACGGGGGGCAGCGGGGGGGAAUAUUGCACAGUGAGCCGACGCCUGUUACGGAGACGCCGCGUGCGGAAAGACGGCCUUCGGGUUAUGAACCGCUUUCGCCUGUGACGAAGCGUGAGUGACGGUAAUGAGUGAAGAAGCACCGGCUAACUACGUG
rnacentral:rRNA from 1 species